CGCGCGCCCGGGUGGGGGGCGGCUGCGGGACUCGCAGGUGCGGGGGCACGAAGGGGGGCCUCGGCCGCCAGCGGAGGACCCGGACGCCGUCCCGGGAUUCUUCUUACGGCAAAGACCAUUUUCGUGCUCGCAGGCGGGACGCUUAACGCAGUUCUUCACUAAUUAAGUGGAUGUUGAUGAUUCCUUCCACGAAUUUUCACGGACCUGCAAAAACUGCGCCAACUCUACGGAAAAUGUCACUGAGGUGUCUAUGGAUCUUAGUUGAGCAGGGAAAACGGAAAAUGACAAUGAAAGGAUGAAGGUACCUGACUCUUCUCUUCCCCUGGGUCACAGAGAGAGAGAGAGGCAGAGACACAGGCAGAGGGAGAAGCAGGCUCCAU